rnacentral:rRNA from 1 species
GACGAACUGUGCAAACGUUAUUCGGAAUCACUGGGCUUAAAGGGUGCGUAGGCGGUCUUGUAAGUAGGGUGUGAAAGCCCCCGGCUCAACCGGGGAACUGCGUCCUAAACUGCUAGGCUAGAGUGAGGUAGGGGUGUGUGGAACUUCCAGUGGAGCGGUGAAAUGUGUUGAUAUUGGAAGGAACGCCGGUGGCGAAAGCGACACACUGGACCUUGUCUGACGCUGAGGCACGAAAGCCAGGGGAGCAAACGGG